UCGGAUAAAUUAGAGCAUACUGGAGCUAUAAAACACAGAGCGUUCCAGUAGAGAAGGUCCUUGGCAUAUCCAAAGACUUGCCUGGGAUAUCAUGAUCCAGAUUAGCUUGUGAACAUCAUGGGCGCCGAAUUAAAGAUCUUGUAAUGAUAGCGCCCUCUCCAGAUGAGUUUCCACCAAGAAUGAUGUAACCAGGAGCAAGCAAAUCAACUGAUGUCAG